GGCAUUUGGUGGAUGCCUUGGCGUGUAGAGGCGAUGAAGGACGUUGCACCCUGCGAAAAGCUUCGGGGAGCUGGGAGCGAGCUUUGAUCCGAAGAUAUCCGAAUGGGGAAACCCACCGCUUCGGCGGUAUCGUGCGGUGAAUCCAUAGCCGCGCGAGGCGAACCCGGCGAACUGAAACAUCUCAGUAGCCGGAGGAAAGGACAUCAACCGAGACUCCGUUAGU
rnacentral:rRNA from 1 species